CGGACGGGUGAGUAACGCGUGAGAAUCUACCCUCAGGAUGGGGACAACAGUUGGAAACGACUGCUAAUACCCAAUGUGCCGAAAGGUGAAAGUUAUAUCGCCUGAGGAAGAGCUCGCGACUGAUUAGCUAGUUGGAGGGGUAAAGGCCCACCAAGGCGACGAUCAGUAGCUGGUCUGAGAGGAUGACCAGCCACACUGGAACUGAGACACGGCCCAGACUCCUACGGGAGGCAGCAGUGGGGAAUUUUCCGCAAUGGGCGCAAGCCUGACGGAGCAAGACCGCGUGAGGGAGGAAGGCCUACUGGUUGUAAACCUCUUUUGAUAGGGAAGAAGACAAUGACGGUACCUAUCGAAUCAGCCUCGGCUAACUCCGUGCCAGCAGCCGCGGUAAUACGGAGGAGGCAAGCGUUAUCCGGAAUUAUUGGGCGUAAAGCGUCCGUAGGUGGAUUGUCAAGUCAGUUGUUAAAGCGUGGAGCUUAACUCCAUAAGGGCAAUUGAAACUGAUAGUCUAGAGUGCGAUAGGGGCAAGGGGAAUUCCCAGUGUAGCGGUGAAAUGCGUAGAUAUUGGGAAGAACAUCGGUGGCGAAAGCGCCUUGCUGGGUCUGCACUGACACUGAGGGACGAAAGCUAGGGGAGCGAAAGGGAUUAGAUACCCCUGUAGUC
rnacentral:rRNA from 1 species